rnacentral:rRNA from 1 species
AUUGAACGCUGGCGGCAUGCUUUACACAUGCAAGUCGGACGAGUGGCGAACGGGUGAGUAAUGUCUGGGAAACUGCCUGAUGGAGGGGGAUAACUACUGGAAACGGUAGCUAAUACCGCAUACCAUCAGAUGUGCCCAGAUGGGAUUAGCUAGUAGGUGGGGUAACGGCUCACCUAGGCGACGAUCCCUAGCUGGUCUGAGAGGAUGACCAGCCACACUGGAACUCAGCCACGGUCCAGACUCCUACGGGAGGCAGCGGUUGGGAAUAUUGCACAAUUGGCGCGAGCCUGAUGCAGCCAUGCCGCGUGUGUGAAGAAGGCCUUCGGGUUGUAAAGCACUUUCAGCGGGGGGGCGUUACCCGCAGAAGAAGCACCGGCUAACUCCGUGCCAGCCGCCGCGGUAAUAC